GCCAUCCCCUGGCCCUGGCUGACUCGCCACCCCCGACACUGCAGCGCCUGCCGGCCUCGGGGCCCCGCCCUCUGCCUUCGCUCGCGCCGCUCUCCUUCAGUCUCCCCAGGGCCUGUUUCAUGGAUAGGGUCCCCUUGCCCGCGUGAAAGUCUCCUUCCUCCUCAGCUCAGAAACACUCCAAGGUCUCGGCGCCCUAUACUGGCCUUCCCUCAUCCGAAUACCCCUCGUGCCCCUGAUGUACUUUUCCAUUCCCACUCCCUACUCUGGCAGUCUAGCUUCUAAGCUGAGGAGUUUGGCCUUCGCUCCAGGUGCGGGGACUCGUGGAAGGAUUUGAUUCGCGCUUUAGAAACAUCGCUCCGCUCCUGUAAGGAAGAGAGCGUGUAGGGGCUGCAACCAGAGACACAGUCAGAAGCUCCGAGGCUACCGCGAUGGCCCAGGUGCCACAGGACACAGCCUAACAGAGGCCCAGGUUGGAGCCAUGGACCAUGGAGUCAUGAGAAUGGAAGGGAAGCUAACGCCAUGUGGGAUGGGGUAGAACUGUCCGCAAAUUCGUCCCGCCUCUGGAGUCUUCAGCCCAGUCAAGGCCGAAAUUCAACCAAGCCUCUCCUCUCUCUAGCUGUUAUUUGUUUGCAGCACGUGGUCUGGUGGCACCCUGCAGGAUUUACCAGCUUUUUGCCAACAUUCUGGCCUAUGCAAUCAAUACGUCCCUUCAGCGUUGCACUUGGAUGGAUUGGACCUAUAGUUGUUAUAUAUGGAUAUUGUCUAAUUUAUUUAUUACAGUAUUAACUGACUCCUAUGUUCUGGCCUUCAGAAUUUCUCCUUUGGAUCAAUUACUAGCCUGUCUUACAUUUUCUGCUUCAUUCUUUUAAAAUGUUAAGAGAUGAUUUGCUAACUUCUAAGUUUUCUUCAUUGCUGUCAAUGAUGCAAUUUAAACUGUCAAAAAAUUUUUUUCUCAAGCAGGGUAGUAAUGGUGAACCAUUCCCUUGCUAUUCAGACAGCAUGGUUUAGAUGAGGCGCACCUAUCCCCAGCUCUAGGAAUGGAAACAGGACCCAAGUCUGGCUAAUCAGAGAUUGGUUUAGGGUCGGCCCCAUGGUCUGAGCCAGACCAAUGAGAAUUGGUAGAGGGACUUUUCUGGAACUAAAGAAAUGGAUCCUGGGUGGGCGUGGUGGUUCAUGCCUGUAAUUCCAGUACUUUGGGAGGCCGAGGCGGGUGGAUCAUCUGAGGUCAGGAGUUCGGGACCAGCCUGACCAACAUGGUGAAACCCCGUCUCUACUAAAAAUACAAAAUUAGCCGGGCGUGGUGGCGCAUGUCUCUAAUCCCAGCUACUCAGGAGGCGGAGGCAGGAGAAUCGCUUGAACCCGGAAGGCGGCAGUUGCAGUGAGCCAAGAUGGCGCCAUUGCACUCCAGCCUGGGCGACAGAGCGAAACUCCGUCUCAAAAAAAAAAAAAAAAGAAAUUGAUUUUUUUUUCUUUUGCAACUUCUAUUUUAGAAUCGGGGGUAUAUAUGCAGGCUUGUUACAGAGGUAUAUUGCAUGGUGCUGAGGUUUGGAGUAUGAACGAAUCCGUCCUUCAGGUAAUGAGCAUAGUACCCAAUAGGUAGUUUCAACCCUUGCCCCCUUCCUCCUUCCCCAGUCUUUUAUUCCCCAGUGUCUGUUGUUCCCAGACAUUGAUCUUUUUCCGCUAUGUUGCUAAGCUGGUAGAAAGGCUGGAGUUGCUGGCAACCAUCUUUGCAACCAUGCAGGGAGAACUACUUUGGAAAUGAAGCAAGACAAAGAAGAAAACAGAUAAAAGGAGACAAAUGUUUGACUUUGUACAGCUGGAAACCAGCAAUGCUGGAAAUGAGCACUGAAGGCAGUUUAAUGGGUUUGUCACUUGUAACCAAGUGACCCACGGCAAGCUCACAGAUUUGUAUUGGCAGAAUUCCUCCUUCUCUUUAUUUAAAAUGGUACUUUUGGCCAGGCAAGGUGGUUCACACCUGUAAUCCAAAGACUUUGGGAGGCUGAGGCGCACUGAUCACCCAAGGUCAGAAGUUCGAGAACAUCCUGGCCAACAUUGGCGAAACCCCGUCUCUACUAAAAAUACAAACCAUUAGCUGGCUGCUGCGGCCUUUCUACCAGCUUUUUGUCUCCAAAAAAAAAAAAAGGUACUUUUGCUUAUCUCUAACCUUCCUCUUCCCCAUAAUUUAACAAUUGCCCAUACUGUUACUCUGAGCUACUCUCUGCCCCAUUCUCCUCCUCUUAUCUUCAGUUCCUCCUAGGCUGUCAGAGCCAUCUGAAAUGAAAACAUUUAGGCCGGGCAUAGUGGUUCAUGCCUGUAAUCCCAGCACUUUGGGAGGCUGAGGCAGGCGGAUCAGCUGAGGUCAGGAGUUCGAGACCACCCUGGCCAACAUGGUGAAACCCCAUCUCUACUAAAAAUACAAAAAUUAUCCAGACAUGGUGGCACAUGCCUCUACUCCCAGCUACUUGGGAGGCUGAGGCAGGAGAAUCGCUUGAACCUAGGAGGCAGGGGUUGCAGUUAGCCGAGAUUGAGCCACUGCACUCUAGCCUGGGCGACAGAGUGAGACUUUGUCUAAAAAACAUAAAUAAAAUAAAAUGAAAUGAAAACAUUUGCUACUUGAAAUCCUUCAGACUCCCCAUCACCUACCUACAGGCAAAACUCUCAAGUUCUUUUGUAUGAUUUAACCACUAUCUACCUGUCCAACUGAAAUCUACCCUUCAGUAAUAUUAUACUUGCACCUCCCUUCAUAAGCUAUGCUACAAGUUUGGUUAUGCAGUUGCCCACCUUUUAAGGUUCAAGCCUUGUCUUCUCCAAAGAGCCACCUCUGACUGCCUCACAGUAAGCUCAGGGCCCGCAACUUACCUGUAACUUUUGUUGCACUUAUGGCCUUUUACAACUAUCAAUUUAUGUAUGUGUCUGUUCUCACUGGUUUAUAAGCUCCCUGAGGACAGAGCCUUGCUUGAGUCAUCUGUCAGCAGCCCAAUAUGGGACAAAAAGUGCAUGCAUUGUGAUUACUGAACAGAACUGAUAGAGGCUAAGCAAUUUGCGCUCCAUAGGUCUAAGUUUGAACUUUUCUAGAAAAGGAUUUGCAGGACGAUCUGACCAAUCUUGGGCUUCCAAUUAGUUCCAACAGUUCUAGUAUUUUUUUUUUUUGACAGAAGCAAAUAAGUAAGUUUUACUUUGUGAUUAAAACAAAAGUGAAAUGCAUUUAGUCCCAGGAAAUGUCAAUCCUUUCUGCAUCUUACUUUUUUUUGCUGUGACCUCGAGAUUCUCUUGUUCUCUUCAGUUGUAUUGGUCCAUGAUCACUCAUAGCUUUCAUAUACAUAUAUACAUCUGAAACUCAGAAAAUUCAUUAGGUAGGAACUCUUUGGAUGCAUCUCCUUUUUUAACCUCAUUGGGAUGAUUUUUCGUUGCACCAUCAUUUUAUAGAGCUUCCUAGCACUGCUGAGCAUGCAGAAUUUUUGCAAAUGCAAUCCAGAGAAACAGACUUGCUAUAUACUAGCUAUUUGAACUUGUCUGAGCUUAUGUGGCAUGGUCUAAAGAAUACCGAAAUAUUUCUGGCAUACCUCUUAAUUGCAGUCACUUUCUCCAGGUUGCUUUAUGGAUUAAAUGAGAUAACCUACUAAACGACUCCAGUAAAAAGCUAAAAAGGUAGCUAGCUUUUGAGGUGUUGUGGCAGACUGGCAUCUAGUGGCCAGCGAUAAAGGUGCAGACUAGUGUCCACACCUAAGUGGGGACAGUGCAGGCUGUAAUGUCCAUACCUAGUGGGGACAUCAGUGGGGUAUUUGUCAGAGAAGCUCCAUGGCAUAGUUUGGACAUUGUUUCUGGCUGUGCAGGUUCAAACCCAGAGUCUGGAUCUCCCAAAGAUUAUCUGAGUUAUUCUAUUAUUUUACAAAGUUUGAAAUAGCCAUUAGAUACCCUUACAAACUUAUCAUUUUUGUGAUUGAUUUUAAGCCUACUGAAAAUGUCAAAAGAAAUCCAAAACUGAUUGCUAGUAACUAGGCCAGGUGUGGUGGCUCACACCUGUAAUCCCAGCACUUUGGGGCCGGGGCAGGCGGAUUGCUUGAGCUCAGGAGUUCGAGACCAGCCUGGGCAACAUGGCAAAACUCCAUAUUUACAAAAAAUACAAAAAAUUAGCCGGGCAUGAUGGUGCGUGCCUGUUGUCCCAGCUACUAGGAAGGCUCAGAUAGAAGGAUCACUUGAGCCUGGGAGGCGGAGGUUGCAGUGAGCCAAGACUGUGCCACUGCACUCCAACCUGGGCAACAGAGACCCCAGCUCAAAAAAAUAAAAUUAGUGUUAACUUGUACUGUUUAGCCACAUUCAUUAAGUUUUUAAUUUUAACUCUAAUAUCGCACAACCAGGAAUGUACAAGAGAUCUGGAGCCUGAUUUGCAUGGCAGGAAGGAGACCACGUAUUUUUGUUUGGGAUGGGUUUUAGCCACUAUCAGAGACAUAGUUUGUUUCUUAGGGGUUCGGUCCCAGUAGUAUGAUACUUAGUUCAUUUAGGAACUUCCUUUUUUAACGGCUAAGAAAACAUUUUAGCUACUAAAUGAUAUGCAAAGAUAACUUUCCAAAUUUAAGCUGUACUCAAAAAUCCACAGAAUCUGCAAAACUCUCAAGUUUCUAUAUUUAAAUAGAAAUGUGUGUUGAUAUACAUACUUUAAUCAGUCAUUUCUUGCUUUCAAUAUAUUUUAUUCUGACGAAGUUACAAAAGUAGAUACAAAAUACUUUUUUUAGAAGUACAGUUAACUGACUUAGAAAAAUAGAUAAAGCCCCUAAGGAUAUUAAAACACAACAUAAAUUUUUAUGUAAAGAACAUUUAAAAAUAUUUUAGAUGGUAACCAAAACUAACUUACACAAACUAUUUUUGAUGUAGAAUAGAAUGCUGUUCUAUAAUAAGAAGUCUGUAGCACACUGGUAAUCCAUUUGGAUCUACAGAAUACUUGUUUGGAAUAGAAUCUGAUAAUGAGAGAAAACUCAAAUGAAUGUCAGUGCA